UAGCCUUGGGUGGGGACCCCUAACCUACAGGAUGGAAGUUUCUAGAAUGAUCCAGGGCAGAAUGUGUGCUCAUGGAACCUGAAUAGCACCAUUCUUUUCACCAUCGUCACAGGUCCUUACUAACUAAAGAGACCUAGAGGGCUUGUGAGAUUCACCUGAAAGUGGGUGUGAAAUGAUGAAGCUACCCACCUGCUCUUGGCCUCCGUGUACGUUUAUCGACAUUACUCAUGGGUCAGAGGGGACUUUCCAAGAAGCUACUGGAGGCUACGCUUCAGGAUCCUUUUACGGGAACCCUGCCAAAUAUGCAAGUCAUCAAAACAAACCAAAUAUUACCUCCAGGAAUUUUUCUGUGAAUCAUCAAUGGAUUCAAGACUUGGUUGAAUUCUCCUCUUCUGGACUCCAAUAAUACCUUGUCAGUUUAGUCCUUUAAAGCUUUAGUCUUUUUUCAAAAUUUCAGUUAGUAUUAUAUUCCAGAGAUAGCAGCCAAUGAGUGUAUAUUUCUGAAUUAAAGCAUUCAAUACUGUUGAGUCUAAGAAAUUGUCCCUCCUUAUAGAAAAAGAUCCCAAACAUGAUUUUUAUGUAUCAAAAAUCUGCUUUAUUUUCAAGUUUAUAGAGAAAAAAUAUAUAAUGCUUUUCUAAAUAAACAGAGAAGCUUUGUAAGACAGGAAUAUGUUUAGGCCUGGUAGGGCCAGGGCCAAGAGUUACCCUGUCUGAGUGGAGACACUGGGGUGGAGACCAAGGAGGUGAUCAAUGUGGACAGGAAACAGGUUACAUAGAGAAGGCUCAAGCACAUAAGUACAGUAAGUAUACUGAAAGCAAUGAAAGCCAAAUUUCUCUCUGUUACAGAAAGGACCAACCAAUAUGGAAAGAAAUAAUACUAAAAACAUUCAUGUAUGAGCUCAUGGAUUUUGAGAUUUUGAGAGCAAUACAUAUUGAAACAAAUAUAAAAUCAUGUAGAGAGAGAGAGGCUGAGGAGUAGAAGCAAUGAUAGCCCAGUGACAGGGAGCACUUCUAGCACCAAUAUCUUGAUUUCUAAAUAUCAUCCUUUACUAAAAAGAAACAGAGCUCCUUAGAGGGAUAGGUGAUUUCAAGGCUGGAUCAGGAAAAGCACAAGAUCACAAUACUUUGUUCACUGAAAAAUUUAAAAGCCCACAAAGAAUUAAAUGGACAAACCAAAAGGACAGAAGAGCUAUUUUUCAGGAAUUCUUAUUAGCUACACAUUUAGGAAAUCUUGGGCACUGAAAAAGGAAAUGACAGACAUGAAUGAAUGAAUGAAUGAAUGAAUUAAUUAAUACAAAAGAAAAUCUAUCAUUAAGAAAUCUAAAAGGUAUAAUAAAAUUAGAAAAAUCACCAUUUGGAAACAACAACAACAAUAAUAAUUGAUGAAGGCAAAAAUCAUCAAUGGAUUCUAAACUAGAGGAUAAAAUUUGAUGAGGAAUAAGUUAUUAACAUAGUCUCAUGAGAUAUUUAGUAAAUAUUAUAACUUACAACAGUUUUCUAAAUAUAAUAUAUCUAAAACAUAAUUUUAAAGUGGAAAAAUCUGGUAAAUGCUAAGGUGAAAAAGUUAAAUUUAUUUUUAAUGAGACAGUUGACAAAAUGUGUCCUCUGUCAUUUUUAAAAAUUUAUUUCUGUGGUAUUCUUGCUAAAAAUGGUUGAUACAACUCUGGUCAUGAAGAAACAUUAGGUAAACAUAGAAAAGGUAUCAUUCUACAAAAUAACUGUCAUAUACUCCUCAAAAAUAUUAAAGUCACAAAAGAGAAAAAAUAGAUGCUUUUCACACCGAGGAAGACCAGAGAAAUGUGGCCAACAAGUACACUGCCAAUUCUGGACUUAAUCCUGGGCUUAGAAAGGAUAUUAGAGGGACUAUUUGUUUGGAAUCUCUGUCAUAAAUAAUACUAUGGUAUUAAUAUUAAUUUCCUGAUUCUACUUGUUUUGCUAUACAUAUGUAAGAAAGUUUCUUUCAAAAAUAUAAAAUAAUUAAGAAGUAUCUUAUCUAUAAAUACUUUGAAAUUAUUCAGAAAUAUAUAUACUGAGAGAUAAAGAGAGUGAUAAAUGAGAAUGAGAAUUUAAAAUGUUAUAAUUGGGGAAUCUGGGUGAAAAUAUAUAUGGAAUUUCUUCAUAUAUUCUCCCAACUUUGCUGUAGGUUUGAAAUCACUUCAAAAUAAAGGUUUAAAAAAAUGAUUAUUCUUAAAAAGUGAUUAUUUACUAACCUGGUAGUUUAAUGAAUGUGUUUAAAGAAUAAGUUUUAAAUGUGUUUGCUUUCUGGAGCUUUUUCCCUCCUUCUCAUGUUAUUGGAUCAUACUUUAGAAAUAACAUAAUUUACAAAAAACAUGAAGUUAUUUAAUGUUAUGCUAAUCAUUUGUUAAACAUGACAAUCAGUGAACUUUAACACUGAUUGCAUAUUGACACUCAGCUGAAUGUAAGCCACGCCUAUGUUAUAAAGUGGAUAUGGUAGAAAGGAUGAGUCCUAUAGACUAUUAUCACUCAGUUGUUUAGGAUAUGGUAAAAAGGAUGAAUCCUACAGACAAUCAGAUAGUUGUUUAGGAUGAGUAGGAGCUAUCACAGAGCCUACAAACACCAAUAAAUGUGAUUUCCUAAUAUUGGGAAUAGCAACACUGUGACAGAAAUGAGAAAUAGAAAAUGUGGAAUUUUCCAAGUAGAAUUUACAAUCUAACCCUGAACCAGAUCAAGUUCCUUGACUACAAUGACUUUGAAAACUGAAGAACAUUAAAAUCAUACAUGAGAAUUUGAGGGCAACCAUGCACAGAGUUAGAUGGAGUUAAUUCAUUCAAGACCUUUUUAGUAACAACAAACCAGGAGAAGCAUUCUUCUCACCACUGGGGAUAAAACAGGGAGUAAGGCAGUGACAGCCCUCCUAGAGUUUAGCUUAUGACACAACUGGGAGCUAUGAAACACUCACUUCCUAAAUUGUUUAGUGACGCUUGUAGUGUCACAAAGGAGAAGUCUGGGUGCUGUGAGGAUCUAUGAAGAAGGUUAGGAAAGGCUUCUCAGAGGGCAUGAAGUUCCCACUUCAACUAGAAGAAGAGAGGAGAGAGCCUUCCUAUGGGCAGAGGAAAGACUCCCAUUGGGGAGAGAUCAACAGAUUUGAAGAGCAGAAAGGUGAAUGUGUCUGGCUCAUGGUGAGCUACAGGGAGAAUGAAACAAGGUAUGAGAAUAGGUGGACCUUGUAGGAUCUUAGAAAACACUGCAGAGUGCAUUGUAGGAGAGGAAGAAGGGAAACAAGGGUGGAAGGAUCCACAGUUAGAAGCAGUUUCAGUGGUGCAGCCAUUAGCUAAUAUUGAGUUUGCCUGAAGUUAGAAAAGGAUGUAGAAAUACAUUUGUUGUACAGGUAGAAUCAACAGUGAUUAGCUGUGAGGGAUUAGAUGUGAGGGAUGAUAAAAAGCCAGAAUCAAGAUAACUGAAGAAUUUUGGCUUGAGUGUCAAAGACAGGAGAGGCCUUUGUUGACCUGAGGAGGAAAAAGAGUUCAGUUUGGAGACCAAGAUCAUGAGUUUAAUGACAGUUCUUGAAUGAGUAAGAAAUGAGAAAGCACUCCACAAAGGAUAGUUGUAAAUUGUAUGGAAAGGCAUGAGGGCAGAAAGAAGACCAUCAUUAAAUGUAGACAAGUGACUAGAGAGAGGGACACUGCUGAAAUGGAAGAAAGUAGAGAACAAUCUCAAAGGAGAGGCAGAUCUAUUUAAAUGCAACCUUUUGCAGCUCAGAAGAGCAGGUACUGAUGACUACUGCCUAGAGGUUAGAAGAAACAUUAUCUUACUGACUUUAUUCAGGCUUGACCAUAUGGGCAAAGGUAGGAGAAAGGCUAUUAUUUUUAACACCCCAAAGAGAUUUGACAGUGACAAAAAAGUAAAACAACUACUCCUGCAUAUUCAAGCCUAUCCCAAUAUUGGGAUAAGAAAAGGGGUUGUAAGCAGUGGGGUGAAGGGCCCCAGAUGAUAGAAAUCCUUUAACAGCUAGUCUGACAAUGAGCACAAUAGCAACAAUGAGAGCAACAAAUGCAACUAGGACUCUUUAUGCCUUUAACAUGCGCUCAGUGAGCACUUACUAGGCUUGAUCUCCUUUAAUGAAUACAGUAAGUGUGUGAGACAAGUAUUGUAAGCCUUCAUUUGUAGUUGGAAAAAUGGAGAUAGAGCGAGUUUACCAAGCAUCAAACAAUGAAGAAGUAGAGAAGGCAUGACACGGGCCUAGAUUUGAUUCAUUCUACAAUCCUUGCUCUUUACCACUAAUCACUCCAAUUCAUUUCUGGCCUGGGAAGCCCAAGGUGUCUUACAUUUGUGCCCAGAAGAAUCUGGAACUGGCUCUGUGAGCCCCCAAUCUCUACUAUGUUCCAGAUUCAUCUGGAGUCCUAUUGUAGUGGAAGAAGCCACUUUUCCCCCAUCUACUGUCAUAACCCUGAGCAAAAAGUCUGUGCCUUAAUCACUGUUUUUGUUUCUCCUUCUAAUCUUUCCUAAGGUAGUAAACAUUCUUUGUCCAGGCAGCAAUCCCCCACCAGUCUGCAUACCUGCUGAGAGGUGGUAUUCCUGGGACUGGAACCCGAGUCUGGU
rnacentral:lncRNA from 1 species